AAAUUGAAGAGUUUGAUCAUGGCUCAGAUUGAACGCUGGCGGCAGGCCUAACACAUGCAAGUCGAGCGGAAACGACAACAUUGAAUCUUCGGAGGAUUUGUUGGGCGUCGAGCGGCGGACGGGUGAGUAAUGCCUAGGAAAUUGCCUUGAUGUGGGGGAUAACCAUUGGAAACGAUGGCUAAUACCGCAUAAUGCCUACGGGCCAAAGAGGGGGACCUUCGGGCCUCUCGCGUCAAGAUAUGCCUAGGUGGGAUUAGCUAGUUGGUGAGGUAAUGGCUCACCAAGGCGACGAUCCCUAGCUGGUCUGAGAGGAUGAUCAGCCACACUGGAACUGAGACACGGUCCAGACUCCUACGGGAGGCAGCAGUGGGGAAUAUUGCACAAUGGGCGAAAGCCUGAUGCAGCCAUGCCGCGUGUAUGAAGAAGGCCUUCGGGUUGUAAAGUACUUUCAGUUGUGAGGAAGGGGGUAACGUUAAUAGCGCUAUCGCUUGACGUUAGCAACAGAAGAAGCACCGGCUAACUCCGUGCCAGCAGCCGCGGUAAUACGGAGGGUGCGAGCGUUAAUCGGAAUUACUGGGCGUAAAGCGCAUGCAGGUGGUUCAUUAAGUCAGAUGUGAAAGCCCGGGGCUCAACCUCGGAACUGCAUUUGAAACUGGUGAACUAGAGUACUGUAGAGGGGGGUAGAAUUUCAGGUGUAGCGGUGAAAUGCGUAGAGAUCUGAAGGAAUACCAGUGGCGAAGGCGGCCCCCUGGACAGAUACUGACACUCAGAUGCGAAAGCGUGGGGAG
rnacentral:rRNA from 1 species